rnacentral:lncRNA from 1 species
AUACUACUAUUUCUAUGAGUAACUAGAAUAAAUGGAUGAUUGGAUAUACUAUUUUUUUCUUUUCUUUCAGAUGUUUUAUCUGCAUUUUUGCAAACUGUACAUUUCCAAGUAAAAGAUGAGACUUCCACUUCUCCAGAAUAGACUUGCUUUGUCUUAAGUCUUUGUCCAGUCCCUGUCUUGGAGACUUCUUUAAAUGCAGGCCCCUCUGGCUAAAAUGGCUGGAAGACAAUAUGUUCUCUGGGAUGGAGCAGAGAUGGGGAGGAGGCAGGAGACUUUCUCCCAUCAUGAACACUUGCACAUGACCUCCAAGAAGAUUUCUUUCCAGCCUUCUGACAGCUGUUCUGAUAAUCCCCUGUACAAAUCAUUCAUACAUUUCAGGUAAACUUUUUGCAUAUUAGUUUUCUACCAUAUGCGUAGGGUAGAGUUGCCAGAUAAAUGAAAAUAGAGGGCACCCAGUUCAAUUUGAAUUUCUGAUAACAGAUAUACUUUAUUUUUUUAGUAUUAUUGAAAAAGCAAGAGAGUUCCAGAAAAACAUCUAUUUCUGCUUUAUUGACUAUGCCAAAGCCUUUGACUGUGUGGAUCACAAUAAAC